AGAUAUAUGCUUAACACAUGCAAGUCGAACGUGUUUCUUGGGAGCGUAUAUGGAGCUCCCAGUUGCUAAAGCAGCUUGUCUCUUUUUUUUCUUAUGAUCUGAGAGAGACCUUCCAAAUUUCAAGUGGCGAACGGGUGCGUAAGGCGCGGGAUAAUCUGCCGAGGAGUUCAGGAGAACCCUGAAUAGAAAGAAAGCUCUGAUAGCGCUCCUUGAUGAGCCCGCGUAGUAUUAGGUAGUUGGUUAGGUAACGGCUGACCAAGCCAACGAUGCUUAGUUGAUCUUUUUGGAUGAUCAGCCACACCGGGACUGAGACACGGCCCGGACCCAAGGUUGGGGCAGCAGUGGGGAAUCUUGGACAAUAGGCGUAAGCCCGAUCCAGCAAUGUGACGUGAUCAGACCCUAGGGGCCCAGCCGUAGUGCGGGGACGGGCACUUUUAGCUUGUAAAAGCUCUUUCAUCGAGUAGGCGAUAAUGACAUGACUCGUGUAAGAAGCCCUGGCUAACUCCGUGCCAGCAGCCGCGGUAAGACGGAGGGGGCUAGUCUUCUUCGGAAUGACUGGGCGUAAAGGGCAUACAGGCGGUGAUUCAAAUUGGAGCGGAAAAACACCAUGGAGAUGGUGGGGUGUUACCAAGAAGAACUCACUUGGGUAAGAAAGGGGAGAGUGGAAUUUCGUAGGUAGGAAUGAAAUCCUGAGAUCUACGUAAGGAAGACCUAAGGCGGAGGCAUCUCUCUGGGUCUAUACCGACGCUAAAUGUGCGAAAGCGUGGGUAGCAAACGGGAUUAGAGACCCCGGUAGUCCACGCCGUCAACGAUGAGUGUUAGCUAUUUGGUCGUGUGAUCAGGAGCACAGCUAAUGCGUGAAACACUCCGCCUGGGGAGUAGAGUCGCAAGGCUGAAACUCAAAGGAAUUGACGGGGGCCCGUAUAAGCGGUGGAGCAUGUGGUUUAAUUCGAUACAACGCGAAAGAUCUUACCAGCCUUUGAAUAUGAGAGCUAUCAUCGACCAGGUAUCUUAGGAAAACCUGGUUGAGGAAGAUAGGGGGGUCUGCAUUUAACCGUGGGAUCCCAGCGACUCAACUUAAAAAAGGCCGGGAAGGUGCCUGGUCAAAUAGGCACGUUUUCGGUGAGUCCGCUUUCGUACAGGUGUUGCAUGGCUGUCGUCAGUCCGUGUCGUGAGAUGUCGGGUCAAUUCCUAUAACGGGCGCAACCCUCGUCCUUGUGUUGCUGAGAUAGAACCUAAGGAUCAAGGCCUCCAGAAUCUGAGUGAGUGGUCAGACUGAAGUGUUCCCGCUUAGUAUACCACACAGAUUCCGAGUGGGGGCUUCCCCUUUUUGUUUAGAAGGCGUACCUGACUCACAAGAGACAGCCGCUUAUAUGGUGUAGGAAGGUGGGGAUGACGUCAAGUCCGCAUGGUCCUUAAAGGCUGGGCCACACAUGUGCUACAAUGGCAAUUACAAUUGGAUGCGAAGCUAGAAAGAGCAUCGCUAAUCCACAAAGAUUGUCUGAGUUCGGAUUCUUAUCUGUAAUUCGGAAAGAUGAAGUAGGAAUCGCUAGUAAUCGCGGAUGAGUAUGCCGCGGUGAACUUAGAACCGGGCUUUGUACACACCGCCCGUCACACCCUGGGAAUUGGUUUCGCCCGAAGCAUCAUAAGGAGGAUUGCCCAUGACUCGCUUCUGGGUUAGUUGCACAGAGCACUCGUUGGUGGUUUUUGUUGGAUACCACGGUGGGGUCUCUGACUGGGGUGAAGUCGUAACAAGGUAGCCGUAGGGGA
rnacentral:rRNA from 1 species